rnacentral:misc_RNA from 1 species
UGGGACAGCUAUCAAUCGUUCAUUUAGCUGAAAAGAAAUCCUUUUAUCUGAUAGGAUAUGCCAUGACAUAAGAGAGGAGAGGAUUGCCACACUUGUAAAGCAGGACUAACCUGAGGAUAUCUUGGAGGGAACGCUUAGAACAGUUCAAGUGAACAAUUUGUUUCAAGUUACUUUAUAAUGCUGAGCACAGUCACAAAAGCCACAAGACAAGUUACCUUACAUGUGAAAGAUAUCGUGAAUGAUAAAGGAAAGAUGAAAAAUAAGGAAAACAUGAAAGAUCCUAGAAUAUAUGAUGUGAAGGACCCAUCUGCCUUUAUAUUUAAUCCUACUACAAGUACCACAUAUAUGAAAGGCAAAUUACUUGGAAAGGGUGGAUUUGCUAAGUGCUAUGAACUGACUGAUCUCAAAACAGAUAAAGUAUAUGCUGGAAAGAUUAUUGCCAAAACUAGAAUAAGUAAACCUCACCAGAAAGAAAAGAUUGUUAGAGAGAUUGAGCUCCAUAGAACGCUGGACCAUAAACAUGUGGUAGGAUUCCAUAGCUUCUUUGAAGAUGACGAGAAUGUCUACAUCAUUUUGGAGAAAUGCUCUAAAAAGUCUUUAGUUCAUGUGAUGAAGAACCGUUCUACAAUCACCGAGCCAGAAGUUCGUUACUACAUCCGCCGUUUGGUCUAUGGCUGCCAAUAUAUACACAGUCAACACAUAAUCCACAGAGACCUGAAACUGGGCAAUAUGCUACUCAAUAGUAACAUGGACAUCAAAAUUGGCGACUUUGGACUGGCAACUAAAGUGGAUUAUGAAGGAGAAAAGAAAAUGACUGUGUGUGGCACUCCAAACUAUAUAGCCCCUGAGGUAUUACAGAAGAAAGGACAUAGUUAUGAGGCAGAUAUAUGGGCCAUCGGCUGUAUUAUGUAUGCACUUUUAGUGGGCCGGCCACCAUUUGAGACGGCAACAUUGAAGGAAACCUACAACAGAAUAACUCACAACAAAUACUCCAUUCCACCCCAUCUCUCAUUAGAGGCGAAAAAACUCAUUAAGGCUCUGUUAAGUAAUAACCCUGAAGACAGACCAACACUUGAAGAAAUACCUCUCCAUCCAUUCUUCUUGAGCGGCUUUGAACCUAAACAUCUCUCAGAUUCAGCUUGUGUGUCUGCCCCAAAGUUCCCCAUCACAAGUCUCAUCUCUAGUAAUCGACAAAAGUCCAAUGCUGAUCCUGCCAAUCAAGAUGGAGUUAACAAAAUUACGUCAUCACUUGCCGUGUUUCGUACACAAUCGAGUAAGAAGGUGCUCAAUAGUCAAACCAAGGUAACUAGGAAACCCCCACAGGUGCCCCAUAAAGACCCCACGUACCCUGCAGUAAACCCAGCAAUACACCCUGCAAUGCACAGUACCCUGUCUUCAAAUUGCAAUGGAGUAACCACCUUUAAUGGUACAGGAAAUGCUGUUGCACUCUGCCAAGUCUUAGAGGCCUUCAUCAACAAUGUUCGCCAAGAUUGCCCUGACAAUCCAUCACCUCUUGUACAGAGUAAUGUGCUAUGGGUGACAAAAUGGGUCGAUUACUCCAACAAAUAUGGUUUCGGCUACCAACUCUCAGAUCGUACCAUAGGUGUUCUCUUCAAUGAUGGAAGUCGCAUCUGCCGAAGUCCUGAUGGAAGAUCUGUACACUUUAAUGAUAUGACGGGUAAGCUGUGUGGCUUCACUAUGGAUGCUCCACCAUCCAACAUGGAGAAACGAACAAUACUUCUCUCGUACUUUGCUCAAUAUAUGGAGGACAAUCUCAUUAAGGGAGGACACGAUGACAACAUGAACAUAAAUGAGAACUGGUGCUCAAAUAUCUUUAUGAAGAAAUGGUUUAGAACUUCCAAGGCAAUAGUGAUGUACCUUAACACAGGAACCUUACAGAUCAAUUUCUUUGACGACCACACAAAGGUGAUCAUCACUCAAACCCCCCACAGUGAAUACCUUGUCACGUAUAUUGACCAGGAUCGCCAGUCAUCUACAUUCCGAAUGGCUCAACUCCAAUAUCUUGGCUGUUCAAGUGAGAUUGUUGAUAGACUGUCCUAUUCCAAAGAAAUGCUGCUGAAUAUCAUUGAGAUUGAAGGUGAAGAAGUGUGAAAUUUCAACAUUUUUGUUUUCCCAAAAUGCUUUUGGCGGCUAUCACAAAAUUGUGUGAUUAACUGGGAUGAUUAAGUUGGAUUUUGAGUUUAUCAUCUCAAACAUUACAAAAGUGAUGCUGCUAGCCACAAUGAUUGGCAGAUUGGAAUGUGGACCAAUAGAUGGAGCCGUUUCAGGUUAAAUAAUGUGAUCUCUUUACAAAUUGAUUUUUCAUCCAACUCUAAGGAUGAGGUUAUUGACCAAAUCAAAAUGUGGUUCAAAAUGGUCGUUAGUAAGAUAAGUAGGAGUCUGUAGACCAGGGGGUUAUUAACAUCAGCUUUGUGUAGGUAAGGAUUCCUAAAGUUCAUUGUUCUCUUACUAUGAUGUCAUUAUAUCCAUGGUUACAACAAUUUAUUUAGGAAUUUUUGAAUUUACAAAGUUUCUGUUAAUGACCGUCGCUCAGUUUAGUAUGUGUUAUGCUAAGAGCUUGUUUA